rnacentral:rRNA from 1 species
AUUGAACGCUGGCGGCAUGCCUUACACAUGCAAGUCGAACGGCAGCACGGGGCAACCUGGUGGCGAGUGGCGAACGGGAGAGUAAUGCAUCGGAACGUACCUUUCAGUGGGGGAUAACGUAGCGAAAGUUACGCUAAUACCGCAUAUUCUGUGAGCAGGAAAGCAGGGGAUCGCAAGACCUUGCGCUGAUUGAGCGGCCGAUGUCAGAUUAGCUAGUUGGUGAGGUAAAGGCUCACCAAGGCGACGAUCUGUAGCGGGUCUGAGAGGAUGAUCCGCCACACUGGAACCGAGACACGGUCCAGACUCCUACGGGAGGCGGCAGUGGGGAAUUUUGGACAAUGGGGGCAACCCUGAUCCAGCCAUGCCGCGUGAGUGAAGAAGGCCUUCGGGUUGUAAAGCUCUUUCGGCCGGGAAGAAAUCGCACGGGCUAAUACCCUGUGUGGAUGACGGUACCGGAAUAAGAAGCACCGGCUAACUACGUGCCAGCAGCCGCCGUAAUAC